UACAGAGGUCUCGAGCGUUAGGCGGAAUCACUGGGCUUAAAGCGUGUGUAGGCGGAUCGGUAAGUACCUUGUGAAAUCCCACAGCUUAACUGUGGAACUGCUUGGUAUACUGCCAGUCUUGGGCCACUUAGGGGCUACCGGAACAAAUGGUGGAGCGGUGAAAUGCGUAGAUAUCAUUUGGAACGCCAAUGGUGAAAACAGGUAGCUGGGAGUGUGCUGACGCUGAGACACGAAAGCCAGGGGAGCAAACGGG
rnacentral:rRNA from 1 species